rnacentral:rRNA from 1 species
UCCUACGGGAGGCAGCAGUGGGGAAUUGUUCGCAAUGGGCGCAAGCCUGACGACGCAACGCCGCGUGGAGGAUGAAGAUCUUCGGGUCGUAAACUCCUGUCGACCGGGACGAAAUUCUCGGGAGCUAACAUCUCCCGGGAUUGACGGUACCGGUGGAGGAAGCCCCGGCUAACUCCGUGCCAGCAGCCGCGGUAAU